ACUCUCGGGCCAGACCAUCGGCUAACACACCGAUCGGGCCCCGACCAAGAAAAGGCGAAAUGCCUACGCGACCGACGUCGCGACUCCCGACCGAGCCACGGCCGGUCGAAGGAUAUUCGGCUUGCCACCGUCUAUCACACGACGCGACCUUAGUCGCAUCUACGACUUACCGACCGAGCCACAGUCGGCCGGAGGAUAUGCGGCUUACCACCGUAUAUCACGAGGCGCGGAGGUGUACCCGACAUAAGGGUAUCGGGGCCCGACUUAUCG
rnacentral:lncRNA from 1 species